GCCCAGAUAGCUCAGGGGUAGAGCAUUUGCAUGGUAAGCAAAAGGUCGAAGGUUCGAUUCCUUUUCUGGGCA
rnacentral:tRNA from 1 species